GAAUUUCACCACUGGUGGAAGCCCUUCAACUGCUCAGCCUGGUAUCGCCGGAAGUCUGAGCAAAUGAUGACCAAUAAAAACCAGAAUGUUGCCACAAGAGGAGUUUGUGAAUCAGAACAUGCAGGACAAGACAGCUCAACACAUCUUGCUGAGAUUUAAGGAUGGAUUGCAAAUUAGUCAAAACGACGAAGGCAUUGUUUCAGAAAGUGGUUCCCACUCCAGCUUGCUAAUUAAUCAAGGAAAAAAAGCCUCAUCAAGGAACAGUCCAACAACAAGAAGCAGAUUAAGACAAGGUUGUCCUGAAGGUUAAACAUGUGCAGGUUUUAAAAAUUAAAUAACUAACAGUA